rnacentral:rRNA from 1 species
UGAGUACGAGCUGCUACGGCAGCGAAGUGGGUGAUGUCAAGCUUCCAAGAAAAGCCCUAUACCCGUUAAGGCGUGACGGCCUGUACCCGAAACCGACACAGGUGGGGUGGUAGAGAAUACCGAGGGGCGCGAGGUAACUCUCUCUAAGGAACUCGGCAAAAUGGCCCCGUAACUUCGGGAGAAGGGGAGCCACCGCAAGGUGGUCGCAGUGAGGAGGCCCAGGCGACUGUUUACCAAAAACACAGGUCUCCGCUAAGUCGCAAGACGAUGUAUGGGGGCUGACGCCUGCCCAGUGCCGGAAGGUUUAGGAAGCUGGUCAGCGUAAGCGAAGCUGGCGACUGAAGCCCCGGUGAACGGCGGCCGUAACUAUAACGGUCCUAAGGUAGCGAAAUUCCUUGUCGGGUAAGUUCCGACCCGCACGAAAGGCGUAACGAUCUGGGCGCUGUCUCGGAGAGAGGCUCGGCGAAAUAGAAUUGUCUGUGAAGAUGCGGACUACGUGCACCCGGACAGAAAGACCCUAUGAAGCUUUACUGUAGCUUGGUAUUGUGCCCGGGCUCUGAAUGCGCAGGAUAGGUGGGAGGCUAUGAUCCAUUGCUUGCGGGCAGUGGUGAGCCAACGGUGAGAUACCACUCUUUCAGAGCUAGGGUUCUAACGGUCACCCGUCAUCCGGGGACCGGACAGUAUCAGGUGGGCAGUUUGACUGGGGCGGUCGCCUCCUAAAAGGUAACGGAGGCGCGCAAAGGUUUGCUCAGGCUGGUUGGAAAUCAGCCGACGAGUGUAAAAGCAGAAGCAAGCUUGACUGUGAGACCUACAAGUCGAACAGGACGAAAGUCGGCUUUAGUGAUCCGACGGUUCUGAGUGGAAGGGCCGUCGCUCAACGGAUAAAAGUUACUCUAAGGAUAACAGGCUGAUCUCCCCCAAGAGUUCACAUCGACGGGGAGGUUUGGCACCUCGAUGUCGGCUCAUCGCAACCUGGGGCUGAAGUCGGUCCCAAGGGUUGGGCUGUUCGCCCAUUAAAGCGGUACGCGAGCUGGGUUCAGAACGUCGUGAGACAGUUCGGUCCAUAUCCGGUGCAUGCGCAGGAAUAUUGAGAGGAUUUCUCCCUAGUACGAGAGGACCGGGAGGAACGCACCUCUGGUGUGCCAGUUAUCGUGCCAACGGUAAACGCUGGGUAGCCAUGUGCGGAGAGGAUAACCGCUGAAAGCAUCUAAGUGGGAAGCCCACCUCAAGAUGAGUAUUCCCAUGGCGUUAGCCAGUAAGGUCACGGGCAGAACACCCGUUGAUAGGCUCUACGUGGAAGCCGGGUAACCGGUGAAGCGGAGGAGUACUAAUAGACCGAGGGCUUGGCCG